rnacentral:rRNA from 1 species
CGGUCUAAGUUCCUUGGAACAGGACGUCAUAGAGGGUGAGAAUCCCGUAUGUGACUGGUCGCCACGCCCGUGUGAAGCUCCUUCGACGAGUCGAGUUGUUUGGGAAUGCAGCUCAAAAUGGGUGGUAAAUUUCAUCUAAAGCUAAAUAUUGGCCAGAGACCGAUAGCGCACAAGUAGAGUGAUCGAAAGAUGAAAAGCACUUUGGAAAGAGAGUCAAACAGUACGUGAAAUUGUUGAAAGGGAAGCGCUUGCAACCAGACUUGCCCGCGGGUGAUCAGCCGGUAUUCUUACCGGUGCACUCGCCCGUGGUCAGGCCAGCAUCGGUUCGGGCGGCUGGAUAAAGUCCACCGGAAUGUAUCUCCUCUCGGGGAGUGUUAUAGCCGGAGGUGCCAUGCAGCCCUCCCGGACCGAGGACCGCGCUUCGGCUAGGAUGCUGGCGUAAUGGUUGUAAGCGACCCGUCUUGAAACACGGACCAAGGAGUCUAACAUCUAUGCGAGUGUUUGGGUGUCAAACCCAUGCGCGUAAUGAAAGUGAACGGAGGUGGGAACCCUGAAGGGUGCACCAUCGACCGAUCCUGAAGUCUUCGGAUGGAUUUGAGUAAGAGCAUAGCUGUUGGGACCCGAAAGAUGGUGAACUAUGCCUGAAUAGGGUGAAGCCAGAGGAAACUCUGGUGGAGGCUCGCAGCGGUUCUGACGUGCAAAUCGAUCGUCAAAUUUGGGUAU